ACCGAAUUAAUUCAUUAGUCUCUCUCUCCUUUCUCUCAUAGUGUAAGAAAAGGAAAAUGGCUAGCAUUUUUGAAAGCAUGAAGAAAGGCUUUGGUUAUCUUGUUGACAUUGUAUCUGGUGGAAGCAAAAGCGCAACGGAAAAUAAUGGAGAAAAGCCAGAGCUCAAAGUUGAGGUUAAAUUAGCAGAGACAACCGCCCGAGAAACCACCGAUGAUAGACCCCCUCCUCCUAGCGUUGAAUCAACUUAGAAAAUUAAAUAAAUAAAUAAACACAUUAUCCUAUCAAUAAUGUUUUCGUUGUACUUUUAUAUAAUUAUAUUUAUCUCGCCUUUUUUUAUGUCAUUUAUUUUAGGGGUGUUUAAUAUGUAAUAAUUGCCGGAUUAGGCAUUUGUUAUAAGUGUGUAAUAAAAAUGUUUGAG